GUGGAUUAGAUACCCCGGUAGUCCACACCCUAAACGAUGAUAACUCGAUGUUGGCGAUACACAGUCAGCGUCUAAGCGAAAGCAUUAAGUUAUCCACCUGGGAAGUACGACCGCAAGGUUGAAACUCAAAGGAAUUGACGGGGGCCCGCACAAGCGGAGGAGCAUGUGGUUUAAUUCGAUGAUACGCGAGGAACCUUACCUGGGCUUGAAAGUUAGUGACCGUCCCUGAAAGGGGACCUUCAGCAAUGACACGAAACUAGGUGCUGCACGGCCGUCGUCAGCU
rnacentral:rRNA from 1 species